rnacentral:lncRNA from 1 species
CUCCCCAUGGCUCCGGAGGAGGACUUGCUCUNUUCAAAAGAAAACAUCACUCCAUGGGAUGACAUCUUGAGUUCUUUCUAUCUCACAACAGUUUCUGGAGCCACUGUCCAUUUCCGAGGGUCCCUAGCAACUGCUACACCGUAAUUCCAGUGCUGUUCUAUUACAGAUGAGAAUUCUGUGUGAUAGAUAAAUGAUGAAGCAAUCUACAAAGAUCCUCCCAAUCUUAAUUAAGAAAUGACCAAAGGUAGAACACUGCAAACAUGUCAGGUGUAUUUUGAGGAAUGCUAAUCAAGUUCUUGUGGGUUCAUGUAACGCUGGUGUCACAAUCGAGGAA